rnacentral:rRNA from 1 species
GACGUAGGGCGCGAACGUUGUCCGGAUUUAUUGGGCGUAAAGAGCUCGUAGGCGGCUUGUUGCGUCGACUGUGAAAACCCGCGGCUUAACCGCGGGCUUGCAGUUGAUACGGGCAGGCUAGAGUUCGGUAGGGGAGACUGGAAUUCCUGGUGUAGCGGUGAAAUGCGCAGAUAUCAGGAGGAACACCGGUGGCGAAGGCGGGUCUCUGGGCCGAUACUGACGCUGAGGAGCGAAAGCGUGGGGAGCGAACAGG